ACGGCCGCAUCACGUUGAAACAUCGGUUCCCGUACCAUCACUGAAGUUAAGCAUUGUUGAUUCUGGUCAGUACCUAGAUGGAUGACCUCUUGGAAAUACCAGGUGCU